rnacentral:rRNA from 1 species
GAUGAACGCUGGCGGCGUGCCUAAUACAUGCAAGUCGAGCGAACAGACGAGGAGCUUGCUCCUUUGACGUUAGCGGCGGACGGGUGAGUAACACGUGGGUAACCUACCUAUAAGACUGGGAUAACUUCGGGAAACCGGAGCUAAUACCGGAUAAUAUUUCGAACCGCAUGGUUCGAUAGUGAAAGAUGGCUUUGCUAUCACUUAUAGAUGGACCUGCGCCGUAUUAGCUAGUUGGUAAGGUAACGGCUUACCAAGGCAACGAUACGUAGCCGACCUGAGAGGGUGAUCGGCCACACUGGAACUGAGACACGGUCCAGACUCCUGCGGGAGGCAGCAGUAGGGAAUCUUCCGCAAUGGGCGAAAGCCUGACGGAGCAACGCCGCGUGAGUGAUGAAGGUCUUCGGAUCGUAAAACUCUGUUAUUAGGGAAGAACAAACGUGUAAGUAACUGUGCACGUCUUGACGGUACCUAAUCAGAAAGCCACGGCUAACUACGUG